CAGUAGGGUGCCAUCAGGAGGUGUAUUUGGAAAU
rnacentral:rRNA from 1 species